CAGGAGCGUUCCUGGGCUAAUCUUUAUCUUCGCUUUGCUCUUCAGAACAAAUGCCUGUGAUGUGAGGCGACUUUACAGGAAACGUGACCUCACUGGGGCUCUGUGCCGCUGAUUGCACGGGCUGUUUUCGAAAGGAAACAGGGACUUGCUGGAGCUGCCCUUGCAGAGCCAGGGCUGAGCUCUCCCAGGAAGCUGCUCCAGAACAGCCUCCACCAGCCGUCCCACCGGCUCUCCCGCUGAUGAAGAGAAAAUUUUGCACGCAUGUGUUAAUUGUGAAAUGGAUUUUCCAGGUUCAACACCAUUUAAUGAAGAGCACAGAUACAGCCCCUCAAGACAUAUUUUUCCAAGUUGUGCUUGUGCCUUUUUGGAUGACGACCCUGCCUAUGAGUGCUCCACAAACCCUCUGACAGGCUCCAUUCCUGCGUGCCGCCGCAGCCCUCGACUGCUUUCCAAUGGUUAUUAUGUUUUGACAGAGGACAGUUUUCUGUCUGGUGAAGAGGGCAACAUAACACUGACACCAUCCCACACCAGUGUUACAUAUAAAGAGAAUUUAGUUCGGGUAUUCAGGCGAAGGAAGAAAAUCCGUCGCUCUCUUGACAGCUUGUUCAACCUCAGUGCUACCAGCUCAUGGCUCAGCUCCACCACUCCCAGCAGGAUGGAUUUCUCCCAUGUAGAGGAUCCUUGGCCUGAUGGAUGCAGUAAACUAGAAGCCAGUCACAGUGAUGUUGGUGAUUCAGACUUUUCUUCUGAAUAUAAUAACCAUGUGUCACAAAGGCAAAUUCCAGCAUCUAAUGGAGCAUUUCUCACCAAAGAUGAUGAGUUUCUUAAUUUUGAGGAACCAUUUUGUGCUUCAAAAUCCUGCUCUUCAUUUAUGGUAAAUGCAAAUGAAGAGAAUUGGAGCAAUGCAGAUAUUUUAUGGGAGGACUGUUUGCCACUUUGUUGCUGAUGAUUUUAGUUUGUAAGUAUAGAAUUUCUUUAUUUCCAACAUAAUUUUUUUUACUAAGUCACACCUGAAGAACAAAUUCUUUCCUUGAAUGUAUAUCCAUGGGUCUUACUGAUCCUAAUAAGAGUAUUAUAUGGUCAAAUGGGGACAAAUGUAGCCUUCAAUCCAUUACAGCAUUUUGCAUCUUAAUUUCACAGUUCUUUUGUCCCAAGAUACUGCUGUGUCCGCUUUCUUCAGUCUCAAUACAUUUUUCAAAACAACUAAAUUUUGACAUAAUAAGAAAUAAAGAACAAUUGCUCUUCAGCACUGAACUCUUGGAUACCUCCUUAUGGCCAUGGUUACACACUCCUGUGGGGAAAAAAUAUAACAGAUUUGACAGUAUUCUUCCUCCAAAAUACAAUGAAUUUUAGCUUUAUUUUUCUUCUUAUCAAAUGUGAGUGAGGCCUUACUUCUUGGUGACUACCUGAAAGAAAUCACACAAAGAAAUGCUAUAUUUGUAGUAUCUUAUCUCAAUAAUGAAAAAUGUUCUGCAAUUCCUGUGAAUUUUUUUAUAUAAAAAUGAUGUAAUCUCAUAUUUUAUGUAUUAAUUUCUUGUUACAACAUGCUAUCAAAGAUAAUGGAUUUGGAUAGUGGCUGAGUACCUGCGAUAAUGAUUUACUAUGCAACUAAAACAGUAUUUAUUAUACUUAUCCUCAUAUUUACUUGUAGUUAAUGCACUUGAAUAGUAUUGUGUCAAAUAAUUCCUCUUUAUUUAAAGUACAGAGACAACUGAGAGUAAAUAUCAAUCUGUAAAACAUGUAAAUAUUUUGUUAUCUAUUUUUGCCUAACAUAAAAGGUCCAUUACUAAAAUAAUGACAAAAUAAAGGAUUAUAAAGAUUUUUAGUGUUUAAAUAAUCUCUUAAAAUAAUAAUCUGGAAAUUUAAAUCCCAUCCUGAGAGAAAAGACUAAGACUGUAAUUACCCUGCAGUCAUCAAAGCAAUUAUGCUGAAAACUAGAAAAGUUCACUGUAAACUCAUUAGUUCACUGUAAACUAUCAAAGCAAAAUCUGAUUGAGAUUGAAAGAAAAAAAAGGUGUACAAUUAAUUCCUAUAAUAUGUCUGUUAAUAAAUACAAACUAUAAAUUAGAAUUGUUCUGAUCUGGAGUGAGGGAACUCCUGGGACAAUUUCUGAAUUGGAGUUCAAGGACUAAAAAUAAAAUGCUUGGGAUCUAUUAAGAUCUGAUUUCCUUGAUAUUUGUGGAUGUUGAAUUAACAAAGUUCUAGUCAAUUACCAGCAUGGCUGGCUUUGGCAGUUCCCUUCUGUAUAUUCCUAUGGACAUAAAAACAGGCCUCAUCUUUUUUCUCUGAAAAGAGGAACAAUCAUAUGUUUCUUCCUGUUGGAUAAAAAAUUGAAGACAGGAUUUUUAUGGUGAAAAACUGAAAAAAAAAUUUCCAACCUAAAUGUGUAAAUUCAGUGUUUCAGAGGUAAUGAGUAUUUGCAGCUUCUGGUUAACUACAGUAUAACCAUGUAGUUAUAGUUAUAACUGUGGAAUAUAAUUCUCUCACAGUAAAGGCACUUAUUAAUUAGUGAUUAACUGACACAUAUACUAACAGAGAAAACAAAUAGAAUUUUAUGGGUUUUUUUGUCCCCAGUGAUUAAACAUUUACUCCCCUUUAAUAUAGCACCUUAUAUUACCAUCUAUUAUUUAAGUUACAUGGAAUAAACUGCAUGGUACAGAAUACAGGUUAUGACCACUUAGUCCAGUUCUGCAAAAUCUGCUUUUUGAUGUACAUUUUUAUGAAUUGGCUGCACUAUUUUGUAAAGCUCUUUGCACAUUUCUAUAUACACUGAGCAAAACUGGUACUCUAUUUAUAUUGUUUCCUUUUUGAUGGUUUCUCAUGCUGCUUCUUUCCCCCCUAUCUCUGGCAUUUCUAUAUCAAUAAAGUUGUUCCUGUUCUCAUUUCUUCUUGUAUUUGAGAGUGUGUUUCAGUAAUGAAGAUUGUUAUUAUUAGAAAUUGCAUGUAUUUCAGUGAAUUUCUUAUUUGUGAGUUCAUGUCCUGUCCUGCAAAUUGUGUGCUCUUUGGGGGAGAGUUUUUUGGUACUUUAGUGCAAACAUAAAGCCUUUUUUGCACUGGUGACUAUGUUAACUAGAACCAUAGAAAAAUAAAAUGAAAAAAUAAUAUUUGAAAAAAAGGUAAUUCAAUAGGAAAUAAAUAAAAAUACAUAGGUUUAAAUUCUGAGUGGGUAUCAAUCAGCUGAUUAACACCAGCUGAGACUCUAAGCUGCAGCAUUUCAACAGCUUUGUCCAUGUAUAUAAGUUUUCUGGGGUUGGAGCACCUUACAUGAUUGUAUAUAUGGAUAAAGUCAAGACAUGUUCAAAAAACUUCUGUAUUAAUAAUGCUAUAAAUGCUAGUAUUGUAAUAAUAAUGCUAUAAAGCUUAUUUUUGUCAUUAUAUAGAAAUACAUAUUGUGUUGUUUUACACAUGCAACAAAUAAAAUUGUAAUACAUUGAAC